UACGGAGGGUGCAAGCGUUAUUCGGAAUUAUUGGGCGUAAAGGGCGUGUAGGCGGCCAGAUAAGUCAGAGGUGAAAGCCCGGUGCUCAACCCCGGAAGUGCCUUUGAAACUAUCUGGCUUUAGUGCGGGAGAGGAAAGCGGAAUUCCCAGUGUAGAGGUGAAAUUCGUAGAUAUUGGGAGGAACACCGGUGGCGAAGGCGGCUUUCUGGACCGACACUGACGAUGAGGCGCGAAAGCGUGGGGAGCAAACAGG
rnacentral:rRNA from 1 species